CUAUCCCCGACUACGCCUCGG
rnacentral:miRNA from 1 species